rnacentral:tRNA from 1 species
AUUCUUAUGGCAGAAUAAUGCAUUAGAUUUAGAAUCUAUUCAUUCUAAUAUUU